rnacentral:lncRNA from 1 species
UACUGGUGGAUUCAGGGGCAUGGUUGACUGUGGUCAGUUGUUAUAAAAGUGUUGACCCUUGUGCUUGGCAUGUCACAUAAAACUGGCCAGAGAAUGGAUGAGAUAUGGUGGCCGUAAAAGUCAUCACAUGAGCAAAGGAAAAAAAUAAAGCCAAGGCAGGAAUAUGUGAAAUAUAUUGGAAGUAUUUAGGAAGUUAAAAGACUUAAAAAAUAAAUAGAUAGAUAAAUAGAUAAAAUACGUCCAUAUGUAAGUAUAUUUAAAAUGAACACACAUGAAUAUAUGCUAUGCUAUAUAUGAAGUAUAUAUAUAAGAAAAUAACUUUUAUACUUAAACUUUUUUAAAAGGAUUUUAUAAAAAAAUGAGUUGUAUAAAAAUUUUUAAAAUAAUUCUGGUCCCUGCAAUCUUUUCCAUCCCCUCAUAUCUCCAGCAGUUAACAGUAAUCAUUAAUGAUCAGUUGUUCUAUUUUUAUACACAUACUCUAAACCCACUCAUAAACACAGUGUUAGUUGUUUUUGUGCUUAAUAAAAAUGAUAUCCUAGUAUAGAUAAUUUUUUAUAAAUUGUUUUUUCACUCAAAUCAGUCUUCUUCCAUGAGAAUAUAUACAAAUUACACUUAUUUUUAAUAGUUUUAUCUUAUUAAAUAGUAUGAAUGAUUAUAAUUAAACCAGCCUACUUUAUUUCAUGUGUGUGUUUUUCAGUGUGCAAUAUACAACUGUUGCGUAAAUAUUUGUUAAAUAUACACUCUGCUUCCUCCUUUUAUUAUUUUCCCACAAGUCUCUUUCACUCACAUUUCUUAGUUGUGCGUUAUUAUCUUCAGUUCCUGAGAUGAAAAAUUAAAUAAUCAAAAGGGGAAGUAGUUGCUGUGGUAAAUGUAUGUUUGACCUGAGAGCAAGUUUGCUUGCUUUUUUAAACUUCUGUUUAUAAAUUUGUUUGUUUGUUUUUAUAUUGAUAAAGCCCAUUUCAAGAAAUCAAAUGAUAAAAUAUUAGACUUGGGAAACUCUGAAAUGUUAUUCAGGGUGACUUCCUACUUCAUGCAGAACCCUUCCCUGUAGGCCUUUUUACCUUCCUGUAAUUUUUACACAACUUCUUUCUCUGCCUGAAAUGACCUUUAUAGCUCCUUCAUGUAACUCUCUCUAUGCUUUAAAAUUCAACUGGUGGAGUUCCUUUGUGGUGCAGCAGGUUUAGGAUCUGACACUGUCACUGCAGCAGUUUGGGUUGCUCCUGUGGUGUGGGUUUGAUCCCUGGUACAGUAACUUCCACAUGCCUAGGGCACAGCAAAAAAACCCCCCAAAAAACAAAAAAACAACCAUUUGAUUGUAACACCACCUCCGAGAAGCCUUCUCUGAUUGCCCCAAGAAAAUAAGAUUUCCUUCUGGCACUCAAAGAGCCCCCUCUGUUUGCAAUGAUCAGUAUAUUUUUCACUUAUUGUUGUAAUGGUGAGUGUGUUUUUCUAUUUCCUCUGCUAGAUUUUAACCUCCUUCAUUGGAAAGAAAUCUGUUUUUUUUUUUUUUUCAUUCACUUCUGUGUUUCCAAUCUAGAGAAGUACUAAUACCAUUUUUUUAGUAAAAUGACUGACUAAAUAAACAUAUAGGCUACCUUCUUUUUUGUCUUCUUCCUAGCUAUGUGUGUGUCUGCUAUUUUAAUAGACAAUCGAUGCAUGUGGUGCAUCAGUUUGAGGAAUAGAAUGCUUGUUAGAAAUUAAAUAAAGGUCCUUAACAUUAGAUGAUCUUACCAAUAAGAAAGUGUCUGUGUUGCGAAUGAGGAGGGAGGGAGGUGGUUAUUUUUGCAGGGAUGGCUUGUUUGCUUCCACUUAUGGAUGGAGAGAGAUAACCUAGGCUUCAUUCUGUUUGCCAUCUUAAUGUGAAACCAUGCAGCUCAUAUCUGCAUGUCUUUCUCUAAUUAAAGAGUUAUCUUCAGGCAACAAAUCAGCAGCUGUCAAGGGAAUGCCAGAAUGAGUCAUUGAUUUGCAAUCAGGAUAGCCAUGCUGAUGGAUUCACCAAUUCUUCAGGGCCUCUGGGAGUUCACCUGCUUGUCACAUAGUGUAGCACUUUGGUUGCUAGCUUUGAAAUGAGAAAUGUCCCUUCACUGUGACUCAAGUUGAUUGCCCCCCUGUCACCAGGUUUUAGCUUCUAGGAAAAGUUUGUACCUUUCACUCAAAAAAGUACUGUUAGAGCUCAGGGUUAAAAGAUUCACUUUGAUGUUUUCCCCAGAUAAGCUGUGAUGGUAAAGACAUUCUUAUAUAAGCAACUGAGGUUCCACCGAUGUGGAAAAAUAUGAACCCAUUCUCCCAAAUACCAGGUGGUUCAACAUAAUCCAGAAUGAUAAUUAUUUCUUGAUUAUGAAAUGGCCAAGAACCUGAGAAACCAUCUAAUCAUACUUCAGUGGAAACUGAAGCCCAAAGGGGUAAGAGUUUCUGUAGGCUCUCAGCCAGAACCAGCUGACACAGGCUCAAAUCCAAGCCUGAUGCACUUAUCACUUUAUCAGAAAUUCAUACUUUCUUCUUCUUUCUCUUCUAGGCUGGUCCUGGAGGUUUAUAUGACUGACGUGGGCAGUCAGGAUACUGAAUGGUUAGGCAAGUUUGUGAAAAAGGCAUCCUGGGUCUUUAUUUCUUCUCUUUCUACUUUUAGAAGUUAUUUAGUAUAGCUUUUAAGUGUAGAAACCUUGAAGCCAGACCAUAGGGUUAGAAUCUAGGAUUCAUCUCUUACGAGGUAAAGGAAUCGAGUGUGUUAAUCUUUCUGUGCCUCUGUGUGCUUAGCACUAAAACGGGGUUCUCAUAUGGUGGUUGAGACGUUUGAAAGAGUUCAUCAAAGCCAAGUGCUUAGAACAGUGACUGGCACAGAUUAAUUCUUCCGAAAAUAUUACCUGUGCUUGUUCAUAGGCAUGGGUGGGAACAGGAUGAGAAUUACCAUCUUCCCAUCUCUAGCUUCAUAAUUAGAAUUAAAGUGAGCUCAUUGUUUUGCUGUAUGUUUCCAUCUCCUUUGUUUGGGUGUAACCUUAGGUCCUCUGCUUAUAUCUGAAUUUUAGGGGAAUAAAUAUAGAAUGGUAUCUACCUAAGAGCAUGGAUUUGGGUGUUGGUCAUACUGCAUUUUUAGAAUGACUGAAGUGAGCCCAUUUGUUUGCCAGAACUGCUACCUAAGGUCUUAUGGACCUUAUAGAAUAUGUAUGUAUCGACAUUGUAACACUGAUUUGUCUCCAUCAGACAACCGUUUAGUUAGAGAAAGAUUUGCAGAUAUGAGCUGCAUGGCUUCACAUUAAGAUAUCAAAUAGUAAUGUCGUAGAGGCUAAGAGAUCCACUUUAUAGCAAAGACAGGGUGCAAGUUUAUGUAUGUAGAAUCCACUUGCUGUCUUAUAUACCACACCACUCAGAAGCUAAUGACCUAUUACAGCCAUAGACUGUUGUUAAAGGCACAGCUAAGGCACUGCCUUGGAGACAUGGGGUAUCAUCUUGUAGGAUACCACAUCACCUUAUAUCAAUAUUCACUAUAUUAUGCUGUCUCCAAGGAAUAGAAUAUAUGGACCUGAGAUACCAUAGGUGUGGACAGGAAGGACUACACUUUUCAUUAUUUCCAAUGUUCCACUGGGGGAAUUCGUGGGCACCCAAAUCCUCUCAAGUCUCUACUCUUCUGGAUUAGAAGUUAUGGUCCUCAGAGAGGGAAAGCCUUCCCCCAGACAAUCAGCAAGAGUUCCAUUGAAUGUUGAGCUAAGACUGCUACCCAAGUAUUGUAGGCUCCUCCUGCCUUGGGACCAAUAGGGAGGAAUAAAUUCACAAUCUUGGUGGGAGUAAUUGACCUGGGUCAUGACAAGAAGGAAGGGCUACUGUCACAAAAUGGAAACAGAAAGAAAUAUGUUAGAUUAUCCAGUUGUAUAUCUCUUAGUUUGCCCUUUUUGAUGACACAUGGAUAAGUGGUCAGUGCUUUCAGAUGACACUGGAAUAUUUAUUUAUGUAUCCCUGAGACUACUCAGGGAUGAGUCUUGCUCACUGCACAGGGUGCACCAUCAAGACCUGCAGAGAUGCUGGCUGAGAGUGAGGGGGGUCCAGAAUGGAUAGAAAUGGGUGAAGAUAAUGAUAGUUAAGACCCAGUUGUAGGAGCUGGGGCUGCAGUUCAUCCUCUUAGUCUCCUUCUUGUGAUUUUCUACCAGCAGAAGAGGCCUACCCAGAGCCUUGAACUGAUAAGAUGCAAGUACAUUCAAAUGUCCUCAGGGGUUAACUCUGGUAGAGUCUGUAUUGUGCUUCAGUGAUCUCUCUUUUAGGAUUGAUAUAGUCAUCCAACUGCUGAUCAGAUUUCAGGCUGAAAACGUUCAGUUAUCAGAUGAGGAAGAUUGACUCAUCCCAUUUUGCAGGGGAUCCCAUUUCCAGGGGAUCUCAUUUCCAGUUAUGGAUGAUCUCAGUGGUAUACAGCUGGACCCCUCACCCUAACUUGUGACAAUCCUGAAGGACUGUCCCAGCUCCAGAGCUCCCUGCAGGGUUGGCUGAGGCCUUAAUUGGUUCUGCAGUGUAGCCUGACUUCUGGCUCUGUUCAAUCCUGCUUUCUUUUUCUCUUCCUUCCAGAUAUUAAUACUAAAAGCUGUCUCUAAUAAACUUCCUGCAUGCUGAUCUUUAUCUCAGAGUUCCUGGGGACUUCUACCAAGGAUGUUAUCUGAAUAUAGACCCACAUAAGUAGGAAACAAGUUAGGCACAAGAUAUUCAUUUCAGCAGUGAUUAUAAGAAUAAAAUGCCAUUAGCAAGGCUGAUCUGCUCACUGAAUAAAUGAUGGUACAUUCAAAACACAAUACCACACAACCAUCAAAAAUAAUAAAGAAGAUCUCCAUGAAGUAUCCGGAGAUACUCCAUAUUUUAAGGUGAAAAAGUAAACAAAGAAAGGCUCAGAACAAUGUAUACAAUAUGCAACCUUUUGUAUAAAAAAGAGGAGAUAAAAAUAUAAAAAUAAUUAUUUGCCUAGUUUGAUGUAAAAGAUAAAAUAAUAAAUGAAAAUGGCUAUGUAUAGAGGAUGAGUGUGAAUGAAAUGGGAAGAAAAUAUAUAAGACUAGAAUUCUCUGAAUUUUAUAAUUUUAAGGACCUUUGAUACAUGUAAACUUUUCACAUAAUCAGAAAAUAAAAAUAAAUUUGAAAACAUGAUAAGACUUAAAAUUGAACUUAAAUAUCAACAAAUAAACAUAACUGCACUUUAAAUUGACAACAUAAACACAUAAAGGCAGUAAUUACUUCAAGAAACAGUGGAACACAAUACUCCAUUUAGCCCUAAUAAGAUAUAUUUUAAGGGAAAAAAAAACAUAGAAAACAAUUAGAUUUUACUUUGUGGGGUUGUUAAUAACAAUUUGGAGAUUUCAAUUUGCGAUUGUACUGAAUAUAUUGUAAAAUAGAAUAAUUAAUUGAUAUUAUUAAAAACAAUGGGAAAGAACAUACAAAGAUAAAAGAUAUUUUGAGAAGCCCUGCCUGUAAUGUUUUUAAACUGGUAAUAGCUAUGAAUUCAGAAUUCAAAUUCUGAAAAAAACUAUAUAUGUACACAUACAUAUAUAUACACAUAUAUAAAUUUACAUAUAUGUAAAUCUGUACAUUUAAAUAAUAUAUACUACUUAAAUAUUAUAAAUAUACAAAUUAAUAUAGUUUUAAAUGUAUUGUUUAGAUAAUAUCAAAAUUCAAAUUUUCCAAUUCAAAAUUAACAUUGAUAAUUAAUAAUAAUAAAUAUUAACAUGUUGUGAGCUCUCUAUGGACAAAACCACAUGGCGGGUGGCUAUGGGUUGCCUAUAGCCAGCAGUUCUCAAAACACCGAGACCCUCAAUCUGGCAGCUACAAGAAGCUAAAUGCUGCCAUUAACCACAUGAACUUGGAAGUCCUUCCCCAGCUGAGUCUCAGCUGAGACCACAUCCCUGACCUAUGUCUUGACUGCCCCAUGUGUGACUCUGAUAGAGAAGUCCAAGCUAAGCCAUGACCAUUCCAGACCCAGAGAAAAUGUGAGGUGAUAAAUGUGUUGUUUUAAUCCUCUAUGAUUGUCAUUAAUUUUCUUAAGCAGCAUUCCAUAACUAAUCAAUUUGCUCCUUGACCAAGUGAUGGAAAUCCGCAUCAGUAAUAUCGGCACACUGUAAGAAUAGUUGUCUCCUGUUGUGAUUCCAUGUGAGGUUUCUUAUAUCACCUAUGAAAUGAGUGAUUUUGCCAAAUAAUAUUUAACUCAAAACUCAUCAAAUCCUUAGUUCUAAAUUCCAUUUUAUAGAAAAUACAGGUGCUAGAAAGAUAAGGUAAGUUAAACCAUAAGGAAAGUCAGCAGAAUCCAGAAUGUUGUAACAUCUUUCAUGUCAACUGGCAUAAACACUUGUGAAAAAGAGAGGUGAGGAGGUGACAGAAAAAUAGUAGGAAUUAAAGAGAUUAUGGAGGCAAAAGGGUCAAAAUAUAGUGUAUAAGCUAGGUUUUGUUCCUGGGUCAAUAUGAUAAAAAUAAACAAACCAUGGAGAAAUCUAGACAUCAACUGGAGAUCAGAUGAUAUUAGGAAAUGCUUGAAAAUCUUCUUGGUUUGAUGACAUUAUUGUAAUCAUGUGAUGAAUCGUCCUUAU